rnacentral:tRNA from 1 species
GGGGUAGUGGCGCAAUGGAUAACGCGUCUGACUACGGAUCAGAAGAUUCCAGGUUCGGCUCCUGGCUAGCUCG